rnacentral:rRNA from 1 species
GACGAACGCUGGCGGCAUGCCUAAUACAUGCAAGUCGAGCGAACAGAUGAAGUGCUUGCACUUCUGACGUUAGCGGCGAACGGGUGAGUAACACGUAAGGAAUCUACCUAUAAGCGGGGGAUAACAUUCGGAAACGGGUGCUAAUACCGCAUAAUAUCUUCUUCCGCAUGGAAGAAGAUUGAAAGACGGCUCUGCUGUCACUUAUAGAUGACCUUGCGGUGCAUUAGUUAGUUGGUGGGGUAAUGGCCUACCAAGACGAUGAUGCAUAGCCGGCCUGAGAGGGUGAUCGGCCACAUUGGGACUGAGACACGGCCCAAACUCCUACGGGAGGCAGCAGUAGGGAAUCUUCCGCAAUGGGCGAAAGCCUGACGGAGCAAUGCCGCGUGAGUGAAGAAGGCCUUCGGGUCGUAAAACUCUGUUAUAAGAGAAGAACAAAUUGUAGAGUAACUGCUACAGUCUUGACGGUAUCUUAUCAGAAAGCCACGGCUAACUACGUGCCAGCAGCCGCCGUAA